CCUACGGGAGGCAGCAGUGAGGAAUAUUGGUCAAUGGGCGCGAGCCUGAACCAGCCAAGUAGCGUGAAGGAUGACUGCCCUACGGGUUGUAAACUUCUUUUAUAAAGGAAUAAAGUGAGGCACGUGUGCCUUAUUGUAUGUACUUUAUGAAUAAGGAUCGGCUAACUCCGUGCCAGCAGCCGCGGUAAUACGGAGGAUCCGAGCGUUAUCCGGAUUUAUUGGGUUUAAAGGGAGCGUAGAUGGUUUGUUAAGUCAGUUGUGAAAGUUUGCGGCUCAACCGUAAAAUUGCAAUUGAUACUGGCAGUCUUGAGUACAGUUGAGGUAGGCGGAAUUCGUGGUGUAGCGGUGAAAUGCUUAGAUAUCACGAAGAACUCCGAUUGCGAAGGCAGCUUACUAAACUGCCACUGACAUUGAUGCUCGAAAGUGUGGGUAUCAAACAGGAUUAGAUACCCGAGUAGUC
rnacentral:rRNA from 1 species